AGGAUGAACGCUGGCGGCGUGCUUAACACAUGCAAGUCGAACGAUGAAGGCUGGAGCUUGCUCUGGCUGGAUUAGUGGCGAACGGGUGAGUAACACGUGAGUAACCUGCCCCAGACUCUGGGAUAAGCGCUGGAAACGGCGUCUAAUACCGGAUACGAGCUUCCACCGCAUGGUGAGGAGCUGGAAAGAAUUUCGGUCUGGGAUGGACUCGCGGCCUAUCAGCUUGUUGGUGAGGUAAUGGCUCACCAAGGCGACGAC
rnacentral:rRNA from 1 species